rnacentral:rRNA from 1 species
UACGGAGGGAGCUAGCGUUGUUCGGAAUUACUGGGCGUAAAGCGCGCGUAGGCGGCUAUUCAAGUCAGAGGUGAAAUCCCGGAGCUCAACUCCGGAACUGCCUUUGAAACUAGAUAGCUAGAAUAUUGGAGAGGUAAGUGGAAUUCCGAGUGUAGAGGUGAAAUUCGUAGAUAUUCGGAAGAACACCAGUGGCGAAGGCG